rnacentral:rRNA from 1 species
CAGCAGCAGCCACAGGAAUACGUAGGGCGCAAGCGUUGUCCGGAAUUAUUGGGCGUAAAGAGCUCGUAGGCGGUCUGUCGCGUCUGGUGUGAAAUCCCGAGGCUCAACCUCGGGCUUGCAUCGGGUACGGGCAGACUAGAGUGCGGUAGGGGAGACUGGAAUUCCUGGUGUAGCGGUGGAAUGCGCAGAUAUCAGGAGGAACACCGAUGGCGAAGGCAGGUCUCUGGGCCGCAACCGACGCUGAGGAGCGAAAGCAUGGGGAGCGAACAGGAUUAGAUACCCGUGUAGUCCCUGUCUCUUAUAC